rnacentral:lncRNA from 1 species
AGGUCCGUAUGAUUUGAAAUACUUGCACACAAACCGCUCGAAAGCGUUCCUGGAAAUCUCAGCCCAAAAAAGGACGUUUAGUAAUUCUAAAAGGGACUACAGGAUGAAAAACAAUAGUUUUGGCAGUUAAAGUUUGAGAUUCGAUGGUGCCGUAGAUCCGUUUGGUCAUCAGGUGUAACGAGCCACACACAUGUCUAGCUAGAGUAGUGUGCUAGGCUCAGACUAGAGAAGAAACGGGGAACAAAGUGAUGAAAGAAUGAUCAUACCGAGGGAAUUCACUCAGAACUUACAAGAAUGAUAACGUGCUCCGACUGGAGCGCUUUAGUAACUGCUGGAAGGCUCUAGGCGAAUAAAGAUGGAAUGACUUCUAAUUUUUAGGUCCGUAUGAUUUGAAAUACUUGCACACAAACCACGCAAAACCGUUCCUAGAAAUCUCGGUCGAAAAAAGGACGUUUAGUAAUUCUAAAAGGGACUACAGGAUGAAAAACAAUAGUUUUGGCAGUUAAAGUUUGAGAUUCGAUGGUGCCGUAGAUCCGUUUGGUCAUCAGGUGUUACGAGCCACACCCAUGUCUAGCUAGAGUAGUGUGCUAGGUUCAGACUAGAGAAGAAACGGGGAACAAAGUGAUUAAAGAAUGAUCAUACCGAGGGAAUUCACUCAGAACUAACAAGAAUGAUAACGUGCUCCGACUGGAGCGGUUUAGGAACUGCUGGAAGGCUCUAGGGGAAUAAAGAUGGAAUGACUUCUAAUUUUUACGUCCGUAUGAUUUGAAAUACAUGCACACAAACCACGCAAAAGCGUUCCUGGAAAUCUCAGCCUAAAAAAGGACGUUUAGUAAUUCUAAAAGGGACUACAGGAUGAAAAAUAAUAGUUUGGGCAGUUAAAAUUUGAGAUUCGACGCUGCCGUAGAUCCGUUUGGUCAUCAGGUCUUACGAGCCACACCCAUGUCUAGCUAGAAUAGUGUGUUAGGCUCAGGCUAGAGAAGAAACGGGGAACAAACUGAUGAAAGAAUGAUCAUACCGAGGGAAUUCACUCAGAACUAACAAGAAUGAUAACGUGCUCCGACUGGAGCAGUUUAGAAACUCCUGGAAGGCUCUAGGGGAAUAAAGAUGGAAUGACUUCAAAGUUUUAGGUCCGUAUGAUUUGAAAUACUUGCACACAAACCGCGUGAAAGCGUUCCUGGAAAUCUCAACCCAAAAAAGGGCGUUUAGUAAUUCUAAAAGGGACUACAGGAUGUAAAACAAUAGUUUUGGCAGUUAAAGUUUGAGAUUCGAUGGUGCCGUAGAUCCGUUUGGUCAUCAGGUGUAACGAGCCACACCCAUGUCUAGCUAGAGUAGUGUGCUAGGCUCAGACUAGAGAAGAAACGGGGAACAAAGUGAUGAAAGAAUGAUCAUACCGAGGGAAUUCACUCAUAACUAACAAGAAUGAUAACGUGCUCUGACUUGAGCGGUUUAGGAACUGCUGGAAGGCUAUAGGGGAAUAAAGAUGGAAUGACUUCAAAUUUUUAGGUCCGUAUGAUCUGAAAUACUUGCACACAAACCGCGAGAAAGCGUUCCUGGAAAUCUCAACCCAAAAAAGGACGUUUAGUAAUUCUAAAAGGGACUACAGGAUGAAAAACAAUAGUUCUGGCAGUUAUUGUUUGAGAUUCGAUAAUCUCGUAGAUCCGUUUGGUCAUCAGGUGUAACGAGCCACACCCAUGUCUAGCUAGAGUAGUGUGCUAGGCUCAGACUAGAGAAGAAACGGGGAACAAACUGAUGAAAGAAUGAUCAUACCGAGGGAAUUCACUUAGAACUAACAAGAAUGAUAACGUGCUCCGACUGGAGCGGUUUAGGAACUGCUGGAAGGCUCUAGGGGAAUAAAGAAGGAACGACUUCUAAUUUUUAGGUCCGUAUGAUUUGAAAUAUGUGCACACAAACCACGAGAAAGCGUUCCUAGAAAUCUCGGCCCAAAAGAGGACGUUUAGUAUUCUAAAAGGGACUACAGAAUGAAAAACAAUAGUUUUGGCAGUUAAAGUUUGAGAUUUGACGGUGCCGUAGAUCUGUUUGGUCAUCAGGGGUUACGAGCCACACCCAUGUCUAGCUAGAAUAGUGUGUUAGGCUCAGGCUAGAAAAGAAACGGGGAACAAAGUGAUGAAAGAAUGAUCAUACCGAGGGAAUUCACUCAGAACUAACAAGAAUGAUAACAUGCUCCGACUGGAGCGGUUUAGGAACUGCUGGAAGGCUCUAGGGGAAUAAAGAUGGAAUGACUUCUAAUUUUUAGGUCCGUAUGAUUUGAAAUACUUGCACACAAACCGCGCGAAAGCGUUCCUGGAAAUCUCAGCCCAAAAAAGGACGUUUAGUAAUUCUAAAAGGGACUACAGGAUGAAAAACAAUAGUUUUGGCAGUUAAAGUAUGAGAUUCAACGGUGCCGUAGAUCCGUUUGGUCAUUAGGUGUUACGAGCCACACCCAUGUCUAGCUAGAAUAGUGUGCUAGGCUCAGGCUAGAGAAGAAACGGGGAACAAACUGAUGAAAGAAUGAUCAAACCGAGGGAAUUCACUCAGAACUAACAAUAAUGAUAACGUGCUCCGACUGGAGCGGUUUAGGAACUGCUGGAAGUCUCUAGGGGAAUAAAGAUGGAAUGACUUCUAAUUUUUACGUUCGUAUGAUUUGAAAAACUUGCCCAUAAACCGCGCGAAAGUGUUCCUGGAAAUCUCAGCCCAAAAAAGGACGUUUAGUAAUUUUAAAAGGGACUACACGAUGAAAAACAAUAGUUUUGGCAGGUAAAGUUUGAGAUUCGACAGUGCCGUAGAUCCGUUUGGUCAUCAGGUGUUACGAGCCACACCCAUGUCUAGCUAGAAUAGU